rnacentral:rRNA from 1 species
AUUGAACGCUGGCGGCAUGCUUUACACAUGCAAGUCGAACGGUAAAAGGCGGAAAGGUGCUGACGAGGGGCGAAGGGGUGAGUAAUGCAUCGGAACUUGCCCGGUCGGGGGGGAAAAGGCAGCGAAAGCUGUGCUAAUACCGCUAACGACCAAGGGAUGAAGGCGGGGACCCGUAAGGCUUAGGCGAAUUGGAGCGGCCGAGGUCAGAUUAGGUAGUGGGGGGGGUAAAGGCUCACCAAGCAAACGAUCUGUAGCUGUUUUGAGAGGACGACCAGCCACACUGGGACUGAGACACGGCCCAGACUCCUACGGGAGGCAGCAGUGGGGAAUUUUGGACAAUGGGCGCAAGCCUGAUCCAGCAAUGCCGCGUGCAGGAAGAAGGCCUUCGGGUUGUAAACUGCUUUUGUACGGAACGAAAAGGUUUGGGUUAAUACCCUGGGCCGAUGACGGUACCGUAAGAAUAAGCACCGGCUAACUACGUGCCAGCCGCCGCAGUAA